AUUGAACGCUGGCGGCAGGCCUAACACAUGCAAGUCGAGCGGAUGAGAAGAGCUUGCUCUUCGAUUCAGCGGCGGACGGGUGAGUAAUGCCUAGGAAUCUGCCUGGUAGUGGGGGACAACGUUUCGAAAGGAACGCUAAUACCGCAUACGUCCUACGGGAGAAAGCAGGGGACCUUCGGGCCUUGCGCUAUCAGAUGAGCCUAGGUCGGAUUAGCUAGUUGGUGGGUAAAGGCUCACCAAGGCGACGAUCCGUAACUGGUCUGAGAGGAUGAUCAGUCACACUGGAACUGAGACACGGUCCAGACUCCUACGGGAGGCAGCAGUGGGGAAUAUUGGACAAUGGGCGAAAGCCUGAUCCAGCCAUGCCGCGUGUGUGAAGAAGCUCAUCGAAUUGUAAAGCACUUUAAGUUGAGAGGAAGGGCAUUAACCUAAUACGUUAGUGUUUUGACGUUACCGACAGAAUAAGCACCGGCUAACUCUGU
rnacentral:rRNA from 1 species